rnacentral:rRNA from 1 species
AGCGGCGGACGGGUGACUAAUGCCUAGGAAUCUGCCUAGUAGUGGGGGACAACGUUUCGAAAGGAACGCUAAUACCGCAUACGUCCUACGGGAGAAAGUGGGGGAUCUUCGGACCUCACGCUAUUAGAUGAGCCUAGGUCGGAUUAGCUAGUUGGUAGGGUAAAGGCCUACCAAGGCGACGAUCCGUAACUGGUCUGAGAGGAUGAUCAGUCACACUGGAACUGAGACACGGUCCAGACUCCUACGGGAGGCAGCAGUGGGGAAUAUUGGACAAUGGGCGAAAGCCUGAUCCAGCCAUGCCGCGUGUGUGAAGAAGGCCUUCGGGUCGUAAAGCACUUUAAGUUGGGAGGAAGGGCUCAUAGCGAAUACCUGUGAGUUUUGACGUUACCAACAGAAUAAGCACCGGCUAACUUCGUGCCAGCAGCCGCGGUAAUACGAAGGGUGCAAGCGUUAAUCGGAAUUACUGGGCGUAAAGCGCGCGUAGGUGGCUUGAUAAGUUGGAUGUGAAAUCCCCGGGCUCAACCUGGGAACUGCAUCCAAAACUGUCUGGCUAGAGUGCGGUA